UCCCAAGAUAUUAAGGGCGAUUGGUGGAUGCCUUGGCACUAGGAGCCGAAGAAGGGCGUGGCAGACUACGAAAUGCUGCGGUGAGCUGUGAGCGAGCUUUGACCCGCAGAUGCCCGAAUGGGGAAACCUGGCAGGCGGAAACGCCUGUCGGCCUGUUCUGAAGGAUUUCCAAAGUAGGAGCAGGUAGGCAAGCGGGGGAAUUGAAUCAUCUAAGUACCCCGAGGAAAAGAAAGCAAUAGCGAAUCCCUCAGUAGUGGCGAGCGAAAGGGGAUCAGCCCAAACCGCGUUCAUGUAUGAAGGUGCAGGCCGUUGUGCGCGCGGGGUUGCAGGAUCGAACCGGUCCCCCUGCAGGGACCAAGGAAGUUACAAAGACGCAGGUUAGCCGAAGGCGGCUGGAAAGCCCCGCCAGAGACGGUGAUAGCCCGGUAGGCGAAAGCCCGCGACCUUCCGUUCUAAAUCCUGAGUACCACGGGACACGUGAAACCCUGUGGGAACCUGGGAGGACCAUCUUCCAAGGCUAAUUACUCCUGGUGACCGAUAGCGAACGAGUAUCGUGAGAGAAAGGUGAAAAGUACCCCGGGAGGGGAGUGAAAUAGAACCUGAAACUGAUCGCUUACAAACAGUCAGAGCGCUAUGGCGACUUGGGCCAAGCGCGGGUGGUUGAACGCAGGGACUGCUUCGGCAGGAAUUGCGGGACACCGCCGGCGCCUAAGCCCGUAAACGGUCGCAACGCGUGAUGGCGUGCCUAUCGAAGAAUGAGCCGGCGAGUUAACUGUUGUGGCGAGGUUAAGAAUCUAUGGUUCGGAGCCGGAGCGAAAGCGAGUCUUAAUAGGGCGAAUAGUCACAGCGGUUAGACCCGAAACCAGGUGAUCUAACCAUGGCCAGAAGGAAGCGGAAGUAACAUUUCGUGGACGUUCGAACGCACCAAAGCUGCAAAUUUGGGCGAUGAGCUGUGGUUAGGGGUGAAACGCCAAUCGAACCUGGAUAUAGCUGGUUCUCCCCGAAAUAGUUUUAGGGCUAGCGUCCGGAUCUUGAGUCUGCUGGGGGUAGAGCACUGACUGGGCUAGGGGGCUCACGCUUACCAACCCCUAUCAAACUCCGAAUACCAGCAGAUAUACCGGGCAGUCAGACAGUGGGGGCUAACCUCCAUUGUCGAAAGGGAAACAACCCAGACCGCCAGCUAAGGCCCCUAAAUCUCGACUAAGUGGAAAACGAUGUGAGAUUGCUGAGACAGCCAGGAUGUUGGCUUGGAAGCAGCCACCAUUGAAAGAGUGCGUAACUGCUCACUGGUCAAGCGAUCUUGCGCGGAAAAUGUAACGGGGCUCAAGUCGAGUGCCGAAGCUGCGGGAGCCGCCGCAAGGCGGACGGUAGGGGAGCGUUCCACGGGCAGAGAAGGUCGAGCGAGAGCACGGCUGGAGCGCGUGGAAGUGAGAAUGCCGGCAUGAGUAGCGAAAUGCGAGUGAAAAACUCGCACACCGUAUGCCCAAGGUUUCCUGAGGAAGGUUAAUCCGCUCAGGGUUAGUCGGGCCUAAGUCGAGGCCGACAGGCGUAGACGAUGGACAACUGGUUCACAUUCCAGUACCACCUCGGGUUCUAUGGACAUUGGAGGGACCCAGCGGGGUAGGUUGAGCGCGUUGACGGAAUGCGCGUCUAAGCACGUAGGUUGGUCGCAUAGGUAAAUCCGUGCGACUGGAAAUCCGAGAUGCGAUGGGGAGGACCUGCUUCGGCAGGACCGACUCGAUUGAGCCCGGCUGGCAAGAAAAGCUUCGUGUCCGAACCCAGGUGCCCGUACCGUAAACCGACACAGGUGGGCGGGGGUAAGUGCCCCAAGGUGAUCGGGAUACCCUCUGCUAAGGAACUCGGCAAAUUGACCCCGUAACUUCGGGAGAUGGGGUGCCCCUUUUGGUGAACGGCCCAUGCGGCCGGGAGCUUUAGGGGGUCGCAGUGCACAGGCCCAGGCGACUGUUUAACAAAAACACAGGUCUCUGCUAAACCGCAAGGUGAUGUAUAGGGGCUGACUCCUGCCCAGUGCCAGAAGGUUAAGGGGAGAGGUGUAAAAGCUUUGAACCGAAGCCCUGGUGAACGGCGGCCGUAACUCUAACGGUCCUAAGGUUGCAGAAUCGCUAGCCUUAGAGAAACCGAACUAUAUGCGGGAAAGCCCUCCAAAACCGAUCGGUACUCGCCGGUCUUGAUCUUUGAAUCAGGACUCGGCAGUAAAAAUCCGACGGACAUGGGGGUAAUCCGCAGGGAAGACCCGGUUAAAACCGGGAACCCUCAGAGACCAAACGUUCGGAACUGACAUAUGAAUCUGAAUGCGGCGUGGGUCACGGGUUUUGUUGACGGUGAAGGCUGCUUCCACAUCGGCAUCAGCCGACAUGGGGAGAUGGGCACCGGAUACCAGGUGCUACCGGAAUUCACCGUCGUCCAACAUGCCCGCGACGUCAAGGUACUCCACGGCCUCAAAAGCUAUUUCGGUUGCGGAGUGGUUCGCAAGAACCAC
rnacentral:rRNA from 1 species